UACGGAGGGUGCAAGCGUUAUCCGGAAUUACUGGGUUUAAAGGGUGCGUAGGUGGCUUCAUAAGUCAGGUGUGAAAGCCCAUCGCUUAACGAUAGAAUUGCCUUUGAUACUGUAAAGCUUGAAACGGGUUGAGGUCAGCAGAAUGUGUCAUGUAGCGGUGAAAUGCAUAGAUAUGCGGUAGAACACCGAUUGCGAAGGCAGCUGGCUGGGCCCAGUCUGACGCUGAGGUACGAAAGCGUGGGGAGCGAACAGG
rnacentral:rRNA from 1 species